UACGGGGGGGGCAAGCGUUGUUCGGAAUUACUGGGCGUAAAGGGCUCGUAGGCGGCCAACUAAGUCAGACGUGAAAUCCCUCAGCUUAACUGGGGAACUGCGUCUGAUACUGGAUGGCUUGAGUUCGGGAGAGGGAUGCGGAAUUCCAGGUGUAGCGGUGAAAUGCGUAGAUAUCUGGAGGAACACCGGUGGCGAAGGCGGCAUCCUGGACCGACACUGACGCUGAGGAGCGAAGGCCAGGGGAGCAAACGGG
rnacentral:rRNA from 1 species